AGCAGCCGCGGUAAUUCCAGCUCCAAUAGCGUAUAUUAAAGUUGUUGCCGUUAAAAAGCUCGUAGUUGAACCUUGGGCCUGGCUGACCUGUCCUCCUAAUCGAGCGCACGGGUUCGGUCGGGCCUUUCCUUCUGGGGAUCCCGAUGCCCUUCACUGGGCGUCGUGGGGAACCAGGACUUUUACCUUGAAAAAAUUUGAGUGUUCAAAGCAGGCCUUUGCUCGAAUACAUUAGCAUGGAAUAAUAGAAUAGGACAGAGGUUCUAUUUUGUUGGUUUCUAGGACCGCUGUAAUGAUUAAUAGGGAUAGUCGGGGGCGUCCGUAUUCAAUUGUCAGAGGUGAAAUUCUUGGAUUUAUUGAAGACGAACUACUGCGAAAGCAUUCGCCAAGGAUGUUUUCAUUAAUCAGUGAACGAAAGUUAGGGGAUCGAAGACGAUCAGAUACCGUCGUAGUCUUAACCAUAAACUAUGCCGACUAGGGAUCGGACGGUGGUUUUUUUAUNACNCCG
rnacentral:rRNA from 1 species